UGGCAUUUGAAUGUAUUCCAGCUCUGAAAGCACGAUUUAGAGAAGGUGUAGAAGGUUGUAUUAGUAAGUGUCCGAGGAUGUGUAAAAAGCGGUUCCAAAGUAACAGCAUGAAGGGUUAUCCUCUUGAGGAUUUGUACGACAUACUUGGAGAAAUUAAGGUUAUUGAAAGUGUUCUUGUUCCUACUGUUGAUGAGGAACCUCUCAUGGCACGCAUAAUGGAUGGGGAGCCAGACUAUGAAAAUGAAGAAGGCGUGAGUAAUUUGUGGAGCACGUGGUUGACUGUUAAGGAGAAGCCUAUCUUUUGGCAAGAACUCUAUGAGUUAGAUGUGGCUGCAAGGGAGUUUCCUCAGAAGAAAGACAAAAGGAAAGUGCAUGAAGAAACAUCCUCCUCUAAUACAAGUUUGGAGGACGUUUUGAAAGGGUUUGAAGAGAGGUUGAUGACAUGUUUGAGUGAAGUGAAUGGGAAGGUGGAAAAAAUGAACAAGAGGCUUGGGAAGAUUGAACGUUGCCAAGUUGUUUUAAAAAAGAGGUGUAAAAGGAUGAAGGCAAUGGAGAAGAAGCUUGAGAAGAUUUAAGAUUGCCAAUAUUAUUUAAAAAAGAAGGCCAAGAAGGUGGAGACAUUGGACGGGAGGAUUGAUGGCAUUGAGAAAGAAAUGAAGGAAAUGAAAGAGAAGGAGGAGGAUAAGGAGAACAAUGACGGUUUCGACUACAAAUGCAUGAAUUAUGACUGGGGUGGGCAGCGGAAUGACAGCAAUGGAGCGGACGCAACAACCAAAGAACCUGAAGAUGCAUAUAUGGUUGAAAAUACAGAGGUGGUAAAAGAGAAAGAGAGUGAAGAAGAGGCUCAGAAGGACGAUAGAGGUUCUGAGGAAGAGACAGAACCUGAACCUGAAGCAUAAGCUGAAGAAGACAAAGAAAAAUAGGAUGAGGAAGAGAGUGAAGAAGAGGCUCAGAAGGACGAUACAGGUUCUGAGGAAGAGGUUGAGAAUGAAAAAACACCUGAGAAAGAACCUGAUGAGGUUCAAGAUUAGGUUGAGAUGAAUGAAGCCAAUGAGAUUGAAGAAGAGGUUGAAACAGAGGGUCGGGUUGAAGUUGAAACCGAGAAAACUCCUACACCACCAUGUGGUAGGACUAAGACAGCAGCCGCGAGGAGACAAAUCUUAACAACACCAGAGAAGUUGUUCGGAAAGGCUGAAAAAAUGGUGGAGGAAGAGGUGAAAGAACCUGAGGAAGAGGGUGAAAAAAAGGUGGAGGAAGAGGUGAAAGAACCUGAUGAAGAGGGUGAAAACAUGGUGGAGGAAGAGGUGGAAGAACCUGAGGAAGAGGGUGAAAAAAUGGUGGAGGAAGAUGUGGAAGAACCUGAGAAAGAGGGUGAAAAAAUGGUGGAGGAAGAGCUGGAAGAACCUGAGGAAGAGGUGGAAGAACCCAAGAAAAAGACUGAAAAAUAUACUGAGGAAGAAAAGCAAGAGUGGUACAUGGUUGUCUACGAGGGCAGUACUUGUGAAACGAAGGAAGCUGACAAGGGAGCAGCCAAGCUUCUGGAACUGGGGUCAAGCAUAGGCCAAAACAAAUGGUGUUGAGGAAGCACGCUACUAAGCAGGCUUCUAAGCCGAGGGGUAGACCGAGAAAGGAUACUGAACCAAAGAAGUUCACAACGCCAGAACAGACAAAAAGGAUACGUUCACGUUCACAGUGGGUUUCCAAUCCUUUUACUGAAGCUAACACUGAUGAGAUUGAAGGGCGCAAGAAAAAGCCUAGAACAAAGGCGUAGAAGACAAGAAGCUUAAAAUAUUUUGGGUGUUUAGUAUUUAUCUCGGAUUUGUUGUGAACUUAUGUAAGAAGUUAUGUUUUGUUGCUUGCUGGUCUGUAAAACUUGAAUGCUAUCUCUUAUGUAGGAUGCUCUGUGUUGUGUGAUUGUCUUGCAGCAGGUUUGGCCCAAUUGAAGACAAAAUGAUCUAAGUCUUAAAGAAAACACAUUUGUACUACUAGAUUUAUUAUGUAUUACUAAGACAAAAAAAAUUUGUCAACACUAAAAAAAAAAUAUAACAUGAUAUAUAAUAUUAAAUGGCACAUGACUAAAACGUGUAAAACGUGUAAAAUAUAAGAAAAAAAAAAUGGCACAUGUCUAAAACAUUUAAAAUAUAAUAUUAAACAAAACAUGUUUGAAUACUCUUUGUAGUACUCAAGGAAGUAGUAAUAUUUCAUUCUUCAUAGUAAUAUUUUUGUACAUUAGAACAUUUUUUAGUAAUACAACCUGAAGAAAUUAAAUUUAUUAGUAAUACAAAUGUAUUUAGACAAUUUUAGAUUAUAUAUAACACAUUGGCAAAAAAAAUUUAAAUAAAAUACGUAUUUUCUGAAUUUCAUCUCAUUAUGGCCUUCACAUCAAGACAUUAGUAUAGAAGUAGAAGGAUGUUUUCUAUAGAAAUGAGAGGUUUUCAACUAAUUUCAGAAUUAAGAGUAUUCUAUGUCUAAUUUGGCAAAUAAACACAAAUAUGACCAUAUAAUCUCGUAAUAUAUGAGAUAUUUUUUCUAAAAAUAAAUAAUAAGACGAAAACAAAAGUUCUUUGAAACAUGCAUACUACAUAGUAAUUCAAAGUAGUUCAAGGUAAUCCAAAAUAGUACCUAGUAGUCUAUAUUACACAUAGUAGUACCAGGUAGUCCAUAUUACACAUCGUAGUUCACAGUAGUACCGAGUAGUGCAGUGUUACCUAGUACAAGAGUUCCAUGUUACUCAGUGGGGGAAGAAGUACUUCCACAUUCAAAAUACUCAUAAAAACGUCCGCCUCUCCUUCCCCUGCCCCUGCCUCUUCCCCUUCCGCGUCCUCUUCUUCGUCCACGAGAUUCUCCGGCUGAUGGAAACCUUUGCUUUUGAGUGGGUCAUUUCUUUUUUCGUAUACCGGGGGAAGAACUUUAAGUGCUCGAAUCUCAUCAGGUAUGACCCAUUCAGACAUAUGAGGAAAUGGAUAAAUCGUCCUACAGUAUGCCAAUGCCCACAACUCCACCAAAUAGUAUUUUGAACAAAACUCUUGUAGAUGAAGAUCUCUUCCUACGCUCAAGAACUUGGCAGCAGCAGCAACAUGAACACAUGGGAUUUUGUCUAGAUCAAAACAUCUGCAGGUGCACAUUUUUCUUGCCAAAUCAACCGUAUAAAUCUUUCCGUCACUACCAUUGACAUUGUACUCAAGGUGGAAGUUGUUUAUCUCAACAACAUCUAAACACCUCGCUUCCAAACAUCUUUUUGACAACUCCUUUUCCACUGUUGGCACAAGCUUCUUUGUGACUGGUAUUUCAGCUGCCUUCUUCCUAUGUUUGUUAAACCAGUCAGUCAUUUUCUUGAUGAUAACAUCAAUCAUCGGUAGCAUGAAGAAUUUCCUCGCUUUCCGAAGAACACCAUUAAUGGAUUCUGCUGCAUUAGUUGUGUUAACAUUGUAUAUGUCUCCUUCAAAGUAACAUCUUGCCCAUUUUCUCACUUCAACACUUUUCUCCAGAUACGCCGCAGCAGAAGGAUACCUUCUGGAAAAGGCAUCGUAGAGAUCAUCGAACUCAGCCACUGUAUAAGCAUGUGCACACUCUGUAAACUUGUUUGCGCAAGCGUCUCUGUUGUUGAAAACAUGUCCUUUGACAUUUUGAGACAAAUGCCAGAUACAAUACCCAUGUGCAGCCAUUGGGAACACCUCACGUAUUGACUUGAUCAAGCUUGCAUUUCUAUCCGAAAGAAACACCAAUUCGCCUUCAUCUGAUAUCACUGACCUCAACUUACUCAUAAACCACAUCCAGCUUUCAUCUUUCUCACCAUCAACUACACCAAAUGCGAUAGGGUAGUGGUGACGAUCAGGAUCUUGAGCCGUCGCAACAAGCAGAACUCCACCAUAAACAUGCUUAAGAUGUGUUCCAUCCGCAAUGAUAACUUUCCUCAUCGCUGCGAAUCCUUCUAUGGAAGCUCCAAGUGCGAAAAAUAGAUACUUAAAUCUUUUUGCCGCAUCCACUUCAACAUAACUUACUGAGUCAGGAUUCUUCAACUUAAGCAUGUACAUGUAGGAGUGUAUCAUAGAAAAACUCUCUUCCGGAGUACCUCAGACUUCAUUAGCAGCCAUCCUUUUUCCUCUCCAUGCUGUGGCAUACGACACAUCAACACCAACCUUGUGGGUAACCAUACUGAUCAGAUCAGCUGGUGUUGGUGUGUCAUAUCUACCGGGAUAUUCUUCACUCAAAACAGAUCCGACAACAUGUGGUGUGCCUCUCCUUCUAUUUCUAAGGGUACUUAUAGUUACUACUGAGAAUGUAUGAGACUUGUUGUAAGUUCUAACCGUCCAAAGAUCUGAAUUCUUAAGCUUUACUACACGUAAAUACCACUUGCAACCUUCUUUGGCUCCUCGACAUUUUGCCACAAAUCUCACAGUAUCGGACUUCAAUGUUUCAUACUCAAAACCAUUCUUAUGUGCACCCCUCUGAACUAGAACUUGCAUGGCUACCUUAGUUCUGAAUUCUUGACCCUUAACCAAAUCGAGACCAUCAUCCCAUUCUUCUUCUACUGCUGUCGUGGCUUCAACUACUGCUCUUGCAGCUUCAACUCCUCCUCUUGCAGCAGCAACUCCUGCUCUUGCAGCUUCAACUUCCGCUCCUCCAGCUUCUUCUUCCACUCUUACUUAUGUUCCUUCAUACCCAUGCUCUAAAUUCUCAUGCAUCUCAAUGUCUUCAUGUUGUUCGGGUGUGUAAAACGCGACCACACCAUCCAUCUCAUGAUCCUGAUCAGUUCCAUCUUGCUCAGUGUCAUCUUCCUCGGUCCCAUCAGAAAGACCAACAUAGCUAUCAUCAGUUUCAUCAUCAUCUUCAUCAGAAAGACCAACAUAGCUAUCAUCAGUCUCAUCAUCAUCUCCGAAAAGUGACAUACCACCAUAUGUAUCAUCCAUGUCGCUGCUGAUCUCCACAUGUAAAACACUUCUACAUUUAUCAUGAUUUACUUGCAUGAGAUAACCCAAAACGUCUUCAUCACACCAAAUAUAUGAUGGCUUGUUCGAAUACAAUACCAUUGGAAAGUAACUAAUCUUCACCAUCCCAUCUCCAUUUACCUUAAUCUUUCUGCAUAUACUUUCAACCAAUUUAGAAUACGUAAUCUCUUCCACAGUUGUCUUCAUCACUAGAGUUUGAAUUUCAUCUUCUCCCGAGAUCCAUCUUCUCUCACCCCCAUCUUUGAUGUAACUUCCUCCGUAAUCAAAACAUAUGAUUGUAAUAGGAGAGGCCCUAGAUUUCCUGAAACAAAAAUUAUGAUGAGUUAACCGUUUAAAGAAUCUAAGUUGUCCAAGAUCUUUGGUACAUACUCUAUUUAGUAAUACAAGUAAUACAAGUUAUACAGAUUGUAGCUUAGUAGUACUAGUAAUUCCAGUAUUUUCUAUAAAUUUUCAUUUUUGUUGAUUUAACCCUUUUAACUAACCAAGGGGGUAUUAUACAACCCACAAUAUCGUCUACCAAUAUUGUAAUGUAUUAUUUUGGUUUAAAACAGUGAAAAAUUAGCAUAAAUAUACAAAAUAGUCCUGAAAAAAACAUCAUUUUCAUACCAAUAUACCUAAAACUUUAAUCUUUCAUCGGUUUAAGUAUGUUUAAUCAACAAAUAGCAUGUUACAAAACCCACAUUAUCGUCUAACACCAUUUUUAUGUUUUUUCCUAUCAAACUCGUGUUAAAAGAAUCGUGUUAAAAGAAGAGAACCUUCUUCAAAUUUUAUUUUCAUUUUUCUUUGAAAACUUUUACGAUUUUUACAACUAAGUUUUUAUUUUUUUUCGUUACCCAUAACACAUAGAACAUAAGUAGUAUAUUAGUAUGAAAAUUUCAUGAAAAAAUCGUACCAAUUUUCGUCAAAAUAACCUUCAAAAAACGCCAAUGGAGCUUGAAGGGGAAGAAGAAUUCGCUGGUGGUUGGAAAAAAGGGAGCAGGAUCUGAAAAAAGGGAACAGAUAGACACCUGUGGGAAGGAGAGAGGUAGAUGAAAUAUGGGAUCGCUUGUUAGGUGUCCAUUAAUUAUGGACUUUAUGUGGGAGGAUGAGGGGUCCGCUUUCUAUUUUUAAAAUUAGAAAGUAAGGUGUGGGAUCCGUGUUUUAUUUUUAAAAUUAGAAAGUAAGGUGUAGGGUCAGCAAGAAAUAGAUAAUAAUAUAAUAGUUGAAGGUAAUAAAGAGAGGGAAAAUAUGAUAAGAUAGUUAGAAAAGAAAUGGGGUAUUGAGAAUACAAAAUUUCCAACUGGGUCAAUAUAGAUUACUUUCCUCUUCAGACACACAGGAUCAGGGGCUCUAUUCAAAAAAAAACUUAUUUUAACAAAAAUCUCAUUUAAAUUAUUAAUUAACUUAUUAAUUAACUUUUUUUAAUUUCUUAUUAUAUUUAUUCAUCAAAAUCUAUUUAUAUAAAAUUUAUACCUAAUGUACUUUUUAUCUUCUUGUUUUUGUUUUAUCUUUUUCAUUUUAUAUAGAGAAAUAUCUUAAGAUAGCAAUAAAAAAAUAUCAUUGUCACAAAUAUAGAUUUUAAGGAUCAAAAUGACCACACUAUUUCAUUAAAUAGGAAAAUAUACACUUAUAUUCUUUGGAUUAAGUUUUAAAAUUUUAUAAAAUUAAAAAUAAAUA